rnacentral:piRNA from 1 species
UNGGAAAGCACGUAAGAAAGGCUACCCAGC